CCUGAGAAACCUAAAAGUUCGAAAAGAGAGAUUCAGCGUCUACAUGUGCAAUAUUGACGUGAGUAGUGAUGCGAGUUUUCAGUGAAGGGUUCGCUCUUUUUCUGAUACUUGUACAUUUUCAUGUUAUUUUAUUGUUGUACUAUUGUCGGCGUGCACUUCUCUCUUAGUAGGACGUCCCGACCCGUUGGGUCUUGGCCUACGGUCCGGAUGGUCGCCUUUAAUAUUUUAUAUUAAAGACCGCCGGUGUCCUGGCUAAGUGCUCGACGGUAGUUUUGACGUGGUAUUAAGCCGCAUUAUUAAUGCGUCCGGCCUGUCGCAAGUUUUUUUGACAAAUUCUGUAUCAUCAUAGACUCUGUGCUAUGUGUAUGGUUUUGUUGGCUGUUUGCAUGACUGUGCUCUUGGACUGUCUUAUAUAUACCUGUCUGGGACGCUUAGGCUUUGGGUACUCUCAGGACCCGUCUUGAAACACGGACCAAGGAGUCUAACAUGUACGCGAGUCAUUGGGUAUAUAUUAUCCUUCGGGAUUUUAUAUAAAACAAACCUAAAGGCGAAAUGAAAGUAAAGGUUAAACCGCCGUUUAACUUCGGGAUGAUGGGUUAUUAAUUUAUCCUCGCAAUCCCAGGGCGUCUUAAUCUCAUUGCGAGAUGA
rnacentral:rRNA from 1 species